rnacentral:rRNA from 1 species
GACCAUCUCAGUUCGGAUUGUAGUCUGCAACCCGACCUACAUGAAGCUGGAAUUGCUAGUAAUGGCAGGUCAGCAUACUGCCGUGAAUACGUUCCCGGGCCUUGUACACACCGCCCGUCACACCAUGAGAGUUGGGAAUACCCGAAGCCUGUGAGCUAACUGUAAAGAGGCAGCAGUCGAAGGUAGAAUCAAUGAUUGGGGUGAAGUCGUAACAAGGUAGC